GUAAUGCCUAGGAAUCUGCCUAGUGUGGGGGGAUAAACGUUCGGAAACGGACGCUAAUACCGCAUACGUCCUACGGGAGAAANCGGGGGGAUCUUCGGACCUCGCGCCAUUAGAUGAGCCUAGGUCGGAUUAGCUAGUUGGUGAGGUAAUGGCUCACCAAGGCGACGAUCCGUAACUGGUCUGAGAGGAUGAUCAGUCACACUGGAACUGAGACACGGUCCAGACUCCUACGGGAGGCAGCAGUGGGGAAUAUUGGACAAUGGGCGAAAGCCUGAUCCAGCCAUGCCGCGUGUGUGAAGAAGGUCUUCGGAUUGUAAAGCACUUUAAGUUGGGAGGAAGGGUAGUAACCUAAUACGUUGCUACUUUGACGUUACCGACAGAAUAAGCACCGGCUAACUUCGUG
rnacentral:rRNA from 1 species